rnacentral:rRNA from 1 species
UACGAAGGGGGCUAGCGUUGCUCGGAAUCACUGGGCGUAAAGGGUGCGUAGGCGGGUAUUUAAGUCAGGGGUGAAAUCCUGGAGCUCAACUCCAGAACUGCCUUUGAUACUGAGUAUCUUGAGUUCGGGAGAGGUAAGUGGAACUGCGAGUGUAGAGGUGAAAUUCGUAGAUAUUCGCAAGAACACCAGUGGCGAAGGCGGCUUACUGGCCCGAUACUGACACUGAGGCACGAAAGCGUGGGGAGCAAACAGGG